GGGGCAGAAUACUUUCAGUAUGCUUCGAACACGUCGACACCUGUCUCUCAGACUAUGAGCAUUCUCGGUUUCCGGGAGCGUGUUACUUUGAACAGGGUGCCACUAAAACGUUGAUCGUCUCACCUGGAUACCCAUUAACCGGCAGUCACUUGGUGCAGAUGUAAGAACAGAUCCUGCAGACCUGAAUGAUCCUUUCUACUCUACAGAGAGCAUGGCCAUGGAGGUGUCGAUCUCACCCAUGGUGUCAGUGUUUGUCUCCACCGUGCUGUCCCUGCUCAGCUUGACUACGCUGUUGCUACUUUGCGUCAUUAGGAAAAAGAGAAGCAUGGAGGGAACAUACAAGCCCAGUGCGGUGGAGAAGAAACAGUCAAGGUCAGCGGGUUGUGAAAAACCUGGCUUGCCCCUACCAUUGCCCAAAGAAGAACGUCUGAUAUAAUGAGUCCUCACAUACUUUGUCACUUUGUAAGGCUAUGAACUUAUAACUGAUGGAUUCCUGUGAUCCUGUCCUUAGAGAUCAUCAUGUUUUGCAGCAGCAGUUUGUAAGUACACUAAACACUAUUCGUGCUGCAGCUUCUAAUAGCCAGUGACAACAAGAGACUGAUUAGACCUCUAAA